rnacentral:misc_RNA from 1 species
GAUGAAGAACGUAGCGAAAUGCGACAAGUAAUGUGAAUUGCAGAAUUCAGUGAAUCAUCGAGUCUUUGAACGCACAUUGCGCCCGCCAGUAUUCUGGCGGGCAUGCCUGUUCGAGCGUCAUUUCAACCAUCAAGCCCCAGGCUUGUGUUGGGGACCUGCGGCUGCCGCAGGCCCUGAAAACCAGUGGCGGGCUCGCUGUCACACCGGGCGUAGUAGAUUUUAUCUCGCUCAGGGCGUGCUGCGGGUUCCGGCCGUUAAAAAGCCUUUUUUACCCAAGGUUGACCUCGGAUCAGGUAGGAAGACCCGCUGAACUUAAGCAUAUCAAUAAGCGGAGGA